rnacentral:rRNA from 1 species
AAUCAACGCUGGCGGCGUGCCUAACACAUGCAAGUCGAACGCGAAAGCCCCUUCGGGGGUAAGUAGAGUGGCGUCCGGGUGAGUAACACGUAGGUAAUCUACCUUCGGGUGGGGAAUAACCAGUCGAAAGAUUGGCUAAUACCGCAUAAUGCAGCGGCACCUAAUGGUGAUUAGUUGUUAAAGCGGGGGAUCGUAAGACCUCGCGCCUGAAGAGGAGCCUGCGGCAGAUUAGCUAGNGGUGAGGUAAUGGCUCACCAAGGCUUCGAUCUGUAGCUGGUCUGAGAGGACGGCCAGCCACACUGGCACUGACACACGGGCCAGACUCCUACGGGAGGCAGCAGUGGGGAAUUUUGGGCAAUGGGCGAAAGCCUGACCCAGCAACGCCGCGUGAGGGAGGAAAUCCUUCGGGAUGUAAACCUCACAAGCAAGGGAAGAGAGCUCAGGGCCGAAUAAGCUUUGAGUCCGACGGUACCUUGCGUAAGCCACGGCUAACUACGUGCCAGC